rnacentral:rRNA from 1 species
UACGUAGGUGGCAAGCGUUAUCCGGAUUUAUUGGGCGUAAAGGGAACGCAGGCGGUCUUUUAAGUCUGAUGUGAAAGCCUUCGGCUUAACCGGAGUAGUGCAUUGGAAACUGGGAGACUUGAGUGCAGAAGAGGAGAGUGGAACUCCAUGUGUAGCGGUGAAAUGCGUAGAUAUAUGGAAGAACACCAGUGGCGAAAGCGGCUCUCUGGUCUGUAACUGACGCUGAGGUUCGAAAGCGUGGGUAACAAACAGG